UACAGAGGGGGCAAGCGUUGUUCGGAAUUACUGGGCGUAAAGGGCGCGUAGGCGGCCUGCUAAGUCGAACGUGAAAUCCCUGGGCUCAACCCAGGAACUGCGUCCGAUACUGGUUGGCUUGAAUCCGGGAGAGGGAUGUGGAAUUCCAGGUGUAGCGGUGAAAUGCGUAGAUAUCUGGAGGAACACCGGUGGCGAAGGCGACAUCCUGGACCGGUAUUGACGCUGAGGAGCGAAAGCCAGGGGAGCAAACGGG
rnacentral:rRNA from 1 species